GGAUCAACAUUUUCUUCAUCUCCACCGAAAGAAUCGAUUGUCGUGCAACCUCCCAAUCAGUAUGGUUCAUUUACUGUUGGUUCUAACCUAAUUUUUCUAUCACAAGCAUCAUAACAUGCACACUCAUUCCCUGUAUCAACAUCUUCAGCGUCAGUUUAUUUUACACAAGCACCAUAACACACACAAUCAUUUCCUGCAUCAACACCUUCUCUAAUGAUAUAUUUUGU
rnacentral:lncRNA from 1 species